GUGUGGAGAAGGCACAGGCUUCCGACUUUGGAGAACUGAGCUCAAGUCUUUUUUCUGCCAGCUGAGUGAACUUCACCAAGCUGAUUCCCCUUCUCUGAGAUUUGUUCUUCAUUCAUAAACCAAGAUGGAUAAGAAGCCUGGAUUUACUCUCCCAUCUGAAACAACCUAAAAGACCAGACAGUAUAUCAAACAGUGGUUCUCAGGACACCAGCUAUCUGGAAAUGAAAGGCAGCAGCCCCUGAAAGACAGGAAGCCAGUGAAGAAACUUCCCGAAUCUUUAUGUACCAACACCUGUGAUUAUGCAAAGCUUUGCUCAAAACCACCGUCAGUGCUCACAUCCAGAACAUAAACAAACGGAGGACUUACUGUUCCUUGCCCUCCUUCCAAACUUUCCAAAAGAAUAUCUUCUUAACAUAGAGAGAUGCACUCUUCAUUUCUGUGGAAAAGAAGUGUCCUAGUUAUAUGGUCACGUACCACUGAAACGGUUACGUGUUUUCAUGCACUGCAUUUUAGAAGGCCCAUAAAAGAGUUCUUGUGGAGAGAAAACACAGCUGGUGCCCAAUUAGAGAGGUGAUCAGGACUAAUUGACUGGGAGAGCUCGUAAGUAAGCCAGACCCCACGCUGCAGAGAGAGAGAAAGAGACACUGCGGCGGGGGAUGGAGGUGGCACCACUCGGUCACACAAAGGCCAUGGCUGAGAGGGGUGGAUGGCUUAUUCCGGGAGGCAGAGUUGGUCAUGCGGUGACCCCUGACUUGAAGGUUUCAAGGUUGGCUCUGCAAGGCUGUCACCUGGCUCUAGCUCACUCCCUUCUGUGGGAAGCCUCAGCUCUUGAACCUGUAGUCAGGCAUCAGCUCCUAUCUUGUCUGUCAUCACUGGCCCCAGGAAAUUUCUAGAGGGGAAGGUGACCAUCAUCCUCAGGAAGGCCUCCGGGAUGGCCUGCCUGUACUUCUCUCCUCACAGACCUCUUGAGACAGCGGCUGUCUUCCUUACCCCUUCCCUCCCACACAUCACACGCUCACCCCUCCUGGCCCAUGGCUGCUGCUUCUGUCUCCUCUUCCCACUCUGCCCCCACGACACUGCGCUGCUCCCAAGACACUUGGCUUAAAAUCUGGCUGCUCUGUGUGCCUCUGUCUCAAAUCACCUGUAUUCCUCACUGUCUCUGUGGAGAUGGUUUUUGCUUUUCCAUAGCCCCCAUCCCUCAGGGCCAAAAGGCUAGAUCAAGUUUCUUCUUUUGCCUCCUAGUUCUACUUGAGCCAUAAUCCUCUGCUCUCUGUGACACACACACACACACACACACACACACACACACACACAAACACACACACACUUGCUGCCAGGCAUUUGGAAUGAGAUGCUUACUUACUGUCUGCUAUAGUAGCUGUGUGUUUCACAAGGAAGUGUGGUCUUGGGACCCUCAGCCUGAGGAUCACCUGGGAACUUCUUAGAAAUGCAAACCGCAGCCCAGCCCCUACCUCAGACUUCUAGGGGAGGGAACAACCCUGUGCUUUCACAAGCCCAGCCAACUCUGCUGCUCAACAUGCGGGAACCACUGGUGCAGCAUCUCAGAGUGCGGGCUCCAAUACCAGCCCACCUGAGUUCAAAUCCCAUUUUGACGCACAUUUGUGUGCUACCUUAGCCACGCGACAUAACUCCUGCUGUGCUAGGCACUCUUCUUCUUCACCAAUAAAUGGGAACUAUAGUAAUUACUAUAGUAAUUAUAGUGGGGAAUCAUGGUAGAACUGAAGUGACUGUACAUCUAACGUGCUUAGAACAGUAUCAUAAACUCUCGUGAACUGUGAACUGCUACUGUUAUUAUCUUUGAAAGGCAAUUUUAAUAGCACUCUGGCCAUGGGAUGUUUGCACCCCGAUCCGUCAGGUUGUGGUCAUUUGUGACUUUUAAGUGACUCUUCUACAUCUGGUCUUUCUCCAGCUUCCUGUGGCGUAGAGGGCAGUGGGCUUCUACAGACACCUUUCUCUGAGGUCUUCCAUUUUAUAUUUGCAUAUUUGACUAUUAAAAAAGCAUACUUUAUUUCCAAAGCUCAUUUCCUGGUAAAACGUAGCCCAGGAAGUUGCAAAAUACUUAACUGGAGGCUAGUUAUAUCCUUCUUUGAACCCCCAUUGUCCUCAAGGAAUGAAAACAUGGCUCCAUUGGUCAGACCUUUGACUGCCCAGUUCCAGGGACCUUCACCUUGACUGUAUGCUAUCCACUCCACUAGAGCCACACCUGGCUCUUAUCUUGGUUGGCUACUGCUCCACUCAUGAAAUCUCAAACCUUGCGGUCUCACUCUUCAGCCCUUCCUCUUAUCUCUCCAGAGCUUUUACCAACCUGGCUCUAGGACCUCCUCUGGAGCUCCAGCCUCUCAGACCUCCUUGGAUUCUCACUGUUGCCACAUCUCUUCUGCCACAUGGAUGGAGGGACAAAUAGCAAGAGCAAGAAAUAAACAUUUGUGUCUGUAAGCCACUUAGAAAAUUAAAAAAAAAAAAUUCUGCAGCAUGACCUGGCUCUUCCUACUGAGGUGCCUGCCCCCUCAGUGGGUGAGAUGAUGAAAGGUCAUGUGAGUAGAGUGCUGGUCCAGUGUUAGGCCCAUAAUAAUCGCUCCAGAAAUACCAGCUAUUACUCUCACCACCAAAACUCACAGGGCCCAUGCACUGCCUUGUAAUGUAUCUACACCCCCCCCAAUCGGAUCACUCUCCUUCUGUACAAUAGCAAUUCCAAACUUUAUCCGUCAUCUUUCCACCAAACUCUCAGCCUUCAUAAAGAAGACAGAAGUGAGCAGGUGGGAACAUUCUCAGUAAGUUUUCUCCAAACCUACAAGUUUCAGUUUCUAUCCUCUUUUAGAGGAAGUUGGUUUCUAUCACCUGACCACAAGAAUUGGAGGGCAGAAGUAUCAGUGACUUCUAAGACUGGGAAAAGCUGAGCAUUCAUUCAUUCCUCCAUCUAUUCGUCCAUUAUAAAUACCUAGUAGGAGGGGGUUGGAGCUUGGAGAAAUGUGAUUUGAAGAUGAGGAAAUGUGAUUUGAAUUGAGACCUAAAGGGAUAGCUAGGCUAGACCUAUUUUUCUUUCUCAGAUAGGCACUCUCUGUGCUGUCUCUUGCUUAUCUACCCAGGUACAUCGGUGGUCAAGGGGAGGAAGUGGGAGGACUGGUCUGGCGCUCACAAACCAGGCCUACCUGCCUCUACCCUGGGCAUAUGGAGGAACAAAAAGGAAGGUAGGUGAGGGAUCUGUAAGGAAAACCUGAGGAAGGGACUGCCCUUGUGGAAGCCCCAGCCAUUCUCCUGGGCUUCAUGAGGGGCUGACACACAAAGAAAGAAUGGCACGCUUCUCCCACCUCCAGGCAGGAUUCCCUGGAACCCCAGACAGGCAGGCAGGCAGGCAGGCAGACAGGCAGACAGGCAGGCAGGCAGACAGACAGACAGACGGUGCUGUUUCUUUUCCUGAUACAACAUCCUUGGCAGCUGCCUCUGACUCAGCCUCCGCACCCUCCCAGUGGGUGGGGUAGACAAUCAGCCCAGUCCACAGGGUGGACGUGGUAGGUGGCACCCAGAGCAAAGUUGCAGACAUCUGCAGACACAAAGAACUUUGAUUUCCCUCCCAACCCAGGGACAUUCGCAGCUCUCCCUCCUUUACCUGUCACUCAGCGCACCAUCUGGUUCCAAACUCAAACAGCCAUCGGCCCUCUCCCUGGGUGGCUGGGAUGAGAAGUCCUUGAUGGUGCAGCAUGUCCCAACUGAAAGGGCCUUAGGGACUAGCUGUCACAUGAAAGGACCGUCCAUCCAUUCCAGGAAGACCCAGUCCUGGCGGCAGGGCCCAAAGAGCUGAAAGAGCUGGCAACUCAUAUCCAGGGCAACUUGCUUGUUAAGGACAACAGGUCUUGGGCCACCAAGUUUAGAUGAAAUACAAUGUUUUAGCGUGUAUUACUAAAGUACUUGCCUUUAUAUCCAUGCAGUUGUAAAGUAUGAUUAGACACAUACAUAGAUGUAUAUUCACGUUCACAUUUACAUUAAGCCACUGCAGUCCUCCCUACUCACAUCAUCUCUGGGAUUGUUUCCUCCUCCAUACAGUGAGGGUCACAGUACCACUCACACCCUGCCCCUCCGCAGUGCCUUUGUGUCCCGUGAACUCUCUCAGGGAUCCGACCACUUCCACAUUUACCAAGUGGGGAGGCUCCUGUUUGCACCCCAUGUGGCAUCCACAUCCCCUGGUGUUGCAUUGAGGCAUCUUGCUGUUCUCCACUGUGGGCUGCCACCACGUUCCCCGCCAUCCCCUGUCCACUGCUCUCCAGCUGGAAACACCUUGUCUGGUGCUGUUUCUGGAAUAAGAUGAGCCUUGACUUCCAACACACUGAGGGCACUGUGCUUCAAAAGCACCCCUCUCUCUGCUUGAUGGUCCCUGCUCACACACCCCUACAAGCUCUUACCAACUAGGUUGUACCAACCCUUCUGACUUUGUGGCUUUUUAAUCUUGCCUCUGCUCUCUAAUCACUGAAAACCUCAGACCCUGUCCCUGCUCCCUCAUCCCUGGGCAUCCAUUCUCUUGCCUCUGGUUCCCCAGACAAGAAGCCAAUGCCCUCCUUCCCAUCCCAGAGAAGCUUCCAGUUUCCUAGGAGACAUGCGUUGAACGGAAAUAUAUUUUAUCUUGGAUCCCUAUGAAUUAUUGGUCAGCCUUUCCACAUUCCCUGUUACCCCAUGUUCAUUCUCCUUGGCCUCUGUAAGGUCUCAUGAGCCCAUGCCUCACCUGCAGUGCCAGUGUUAGCUCAGGUCCUUUCAUCCUUUUCCAGACCUCAACAUCCCCUCACCAGCCCACCUCUCUGUCCAAUCUACCUGACACUCUGUGGCCAUCAUGCCUUUUAAAAAAUACGGACCUGAUCCUGUCUUUGCUCUGUAAGUUCUUCCUGUGGCUCCCCAUUUCCCUCAGGCCCCUUCGCUGGGCACACAAGACCCUGCCUCCCCCUCAACUGGAACCCGCCCACAAGAUCAUCACUAAUUAUUUGAAAUCCCCAGACUGAGUCACGCUUUCUCAUGGCCCCAUGACUGUGCACAUGAUGCUCUCCUGCCUGGAAUGCCCUUCCCAGAUCUCUUAGAAGACACCUCCUGACAAGUUGAGACUUGUGUAGCCUCACCUCCUCCGGGAAGCCUUCCAUGCUGCCCCUCCAAAGGCUGAGAUAAAGGCUUCUCUUAAGCGCCUCACCCCACCUCCCAGAGCUCCUCUGCCCAGCACCUACUUUGUCUAUUCCACUGGGCUCAGAUUCAAACCCUUUUGAAACAGAGACCACAUCUGACUUAUCUCUGUCACUAGCCUCUGACAUUGGGCCUCUUUGGGAUCCAGAAAGCACACAGUAGGUAUUUUUAAUAGAACCUGUAGACGGAUGAUGAUUGGGCCAGGAUGCACUGAACUGUUCGCUUGUCUGGCAUCAGUGACCUGAUGGAAACACCUCUGGGCACAGGCACAUCCUGAAGCAGGCAGAGAGCAAGUGUCCAGGUUAGACUAGGAUGCUGUCCGCUCUGGAAGCAUGAAAGGUGGGUUGAUGGAUUGAUUACCUGCGAGCUCGGAGCUCCUGGGAAAAGACUUACAUCCCCACAAAGAGAAGGCAGACAAGUGUACUUAGAAACUGAAGCACACUGAAUUAAACACUGAGACCUUCAUUUCAGCAAAAAGAAUUGGUUGUACAGGGGCAGAAAUUUAAUCACAGUGUGAUAUGGUUCAGCCAUGAUAGACAGGGUCACAAUACCAUAAACACUAACUCUGA